ACAAUCUCUCUAAGAGAUGGCGUUGAUCCCGGUGUACACUCGAGCAGACGAGUGCCAGAUGCAGACCGCAGCAGCCAGCAAAGUAAUCUAACCUAAUCAUGGGCACCGGUGAUGUGUUGUGUUUGUGUAUAAAUUUGACAGGCCGGUGAGAAAGAAAUGCGUACGGAAACUUAUAUUGUCAAUAUUCGUAGUGAUAAUUAUACAAUUUAUUGUUGCCAGCCUCAUUCCAUGGAAUGUGAAAUCAGUGUGUUGAGAAGUAACACCUGAGGAAUAUGUAUAUGAGUCCACUAGUCAUGCACCUAUCCACCAGACUCGACAAAAUGAUUCGUAUAUUUAUAAAUUACAUUAUCCAUACUAUUGAUUUACAAAGGUAGUCCUUGGGAUAAUAAACCUGUCUACAUGUAAUAUACUGAAUUAGUUAUUGGACUCAUGGAAGUCAGUGUAAAUUCUUUAAUCAUUAUUCUACUUGGCUUAAUCACAAAUGUAAGAAAUGCUUAUAAUCAUAAUUCAGGUUAGAUUGUUAUUGUUUUUAUGCACUACCAUUUUCACCUUUGGAUCUAUGCACUUUACAAUGAGAAAUUUCAAAGACGUCUAGAAGAACGAUAUGAAACAUGUAUAUUCUGUCUACUAAUGUUACAUCUAAAGAGCUCGAUGAAGCUGAUAAUGAGUGCAUAAUUGGCAGAUAAGAAAUAAUUAACCAUAAAAUGGAACAGAAAAAGAAACAAGUUGAAGCAGAAAAGAGAAAGAAAAAGAAAAAGAAAAAGAGAUAUCAGGAUGGUGAAUUAGGAGAUGGUGAAUAUGAAAUAGCCGGGUUAGUGUGGUAGAAAUAGCCACUGAUCAAACUCGAAGUGGUGCAGAUGUUCCAACAGUUGCUCAACUUAAUUCGUUUUUGGAAUCUCAUCCUGGUUGGGAACCAAUGGAAUCUGACAGUGAAUAUGAAGAUGAAGAUGAAAAUGGUAAAGAAGAGAAGAAAAUGAGAAACAAAGAACUGAAGAAGAAGAGGAAAAGUCAAGAAUACUAUUCAGAAAGCUGAAGCUGAAUGAUGAUGAGUACAAACUGAAGAACAAAUUUAUUAUAAUAUUGCUCACACUAUCAAUGUAACAGUUACCCAGGAAGCUUUUAUAAUAGUUAAUGGAAAAACUAAAGGAAUAUCAAAUUAGAGGUCUUGAAUGGAUGAUUUCAUUAUUUAAAAACAACCUCAAUGGUAUUUUAGCUGAUGAGAUGGGUUUGGGUAAAACAAUUCAUACUAUAUAUUUGAUAAGUUAUUUUAUGGAGAAAAAGAAAGUAAAUGGCCCACUUCUUAUUUUUGUUCUGUUGUCUACUCUUUUAAAUUGGAUGCUCGAAUUUGAAAAAUGGGCUCCAAGUGUUGUUGUUGUUUCAUGUGAAGGAUCUCCAGCUGGCAGAAAAGCGAUACAAUCUCAAAUACGUGCCACUAAGUUCAAUGUACUACUGACUAUUUACGAGUACAUUAUAAAAGACAAAAGUGUCUUGGCAAAGUUACAGUGAAAAUACAUAAUUAUUGAUGAGGGUUACAGAAUGAAAAAUCAUCACUGUAAAUUAUUGUCAAACAGCAAAAUGUUCUUGUGCACACUUCUUGUUUGUGACCAUAGUUCCAACAUCAACAUAGAUGCUCCACCUGCAGACUAAAUAUUUUAAGACAAAUUAGCUUCUAGCUCUUACUGAAUUAGAGAAUCUGAGACAGAGAAGGCUUUUUUGCCUUUGCCAAUAAGUUUUCUGUUUACUAAAUUUGACAAUACUAAUUUAAAAAUGAAACUAUUUUUUCUACAUGCAUUAACAAUUUAUAUUUGGGAUAUUAGUAAAGAAAAUGUAAUCCACGAAAUAAAUAGUUUUACAAUUGGAUUAUUACUGUAAAAUUGCACAAUGUAUUACUGGGAAAUCGUAAAUUCUGUAAAAAAGAUUGAGAUAUAUUUUAGAAAGUAUCAAUAAAGAUUUUGUAAUUGGAUCUAUUACAUGUAAUAUUACAAGUGAUAAUGUUGUGUAUAUAGCAGGUAUAGUGAAUGGAUUGUUGUGAUUUAACCAAUGAUGAUUAGGCCUAGGGCAAUAUUUACUCUAUUGACAAUAAACGUUAAGAAUACCAGAA